GCUUCUCUUGAGAGCGGCGGACGGGUGAGUAAUGCCUAGGAAUCUGCCUGAUAGUGGGGGAUAACGUUCGGAAACGGACGCUAAUACCGCAUACGUCCUACGGGAGAAAGCAGGGGACCUUCGGGCCUUGCGCUAUCAGAUGAGCCUAGGUCGGAUUAGCUAGUUGGUGAGGUAAUGGCUCACCAAGGCGACGAUCCGUAACUGGUCUGAGAGGAUGAUCAGUCACACUGGAACUGAGACACGGUCCAGACUCCUACGGGAGGCAGCAGUGGGGAAUAUUGGACAAUGGGCGAAAGCCUGAUCCAGCCAUGCCGCGUGUGUGAAGAAGGUCUUCGGAUUGUAAAGCACUUUAAGUUGGGAGGAAGGGCAUUAACCUAAUACGUUAGUGUUUUGACGUUACCGACAGAAUAAGCACCGGCUAACUCUGUGCCAGCAGCCGCGGUAAUACAGAGGGUGCAAGCGUUAAUCGGAAUUACUGGGCGUAAAGCGCGCGUAGGUGGUUUGUUAAGUUGGAUGUGAAAUCCCCGGGCUCAACCUGGGAACUGCAUUCAAAACUGACUGACUAGAGUAUGGUAGAGGGUGGUGGAAUUUCCUGUGUAGCGGUGAAAUGCGUAGAUAUAGGAAGGAACACCAGUGGCGAAGGCGACCACCUGGACUAAUACUGACACUGAGGUGCGAAAGCGUGGGGAGCAAACAGGAUUAGAUACCCUGGUAGUCCACGCCGUAAACGAUGUCAACUAGCCGUUGGAAGCCUUGAGC
rnacentral:rRNA from 1 species